rnacentral:rRNA from 1 species
UGGGGAAUAUUGGACAAUGGGCGAAAGCCUGAUCCAGCCAUGCCGCGUGUGUGAAGAAGGUCUUCGGAUUGUAAAGCACUUUAAGUUGGGAGGAAGGGCAGUAAGCUAAUACCUUGCUGUUUUGACGUUACCGACAGAAUAAGCACCGGCUAACUCUGUGCCAGCAGCCGCGGUAAUACAGAGGGUGCAAGCGUUAAUCGGAAUUACUGGGCGUAAAGCGCGCGUAGGUGGUAUGUUAAGUUGGAUGUGAAAGCCCCGGGCUCAACCUGGGAACUGCAUCCAAAACUGGCAAGCUAGAGUACGGAAGAGGGUGGUGGAAUUUCCUGUGUAGCGGUGAAAUGCGUAGAUAUAGGAAGGAACACCAGUGGCGAAGGCGACCACCUGGACUGAUACUGACACUGAGGUGCGAAAGCGUGGGGAGCAAACA